rnacentral:tRNA from 1 species
GAUGAAGUGGUUAAUCAUUUGCCUGCUAAGCAAAAGGCUGGUGGUUCGAAUCUACC